GGCAGCAGUGGGGAAUAUUGCACAAUGGGGGAAACCCUGAUGCAGCGACGCAGCGUGCGGGAUGACGGCCUUCGGGUUGUAAACCGCUUUCAGCAGGGAAGAAGCGCAAGUGACGGUACCUGCAGAAGAAGUACCGGCUAACUACGUGCCAGCAGCCGCG
rnacentral:rRNA from 1 species